rnacentral:rRNA from 1 species
ACGCUCGACACCUACGGGAGACAGCAGUGGGGAAUAUUGCACAAUGGGGGAAACCCUGAUGCAGCGACGCCGCGUGAGCGAAGAAGUAUUUCGGUAUGUAAAGCUCUAUCAGCAGGGAAGAUCAUGACGGUACCUGACUAAGAAGCUCCGGCUAAAUACGUGCCAGCAGCCGUGGUAAUCUGAGCGGGCUGGCAAGGC